GACGAACGCUGGCGGCGUGCUUAACACAUGCAAGUCGAACGGAAAGGCCCUGCUUUUGUGGGGUGCUCGAGUGGCGAACGGGUGAGUAACACGUGAGUAACCUGCCCUUGACUUUGGGAUAACUUCAGGAAACUGGGGCUAAUACCGGAUAGGAGCUCCUGCUGCAUGGUGGGGGUUGGAAAGUUUCGGCGGUUGGGGAUGGACUCGCGGCUUAUCAGCUUGUUGGUGGGGUAGUGGCUUACCAAGGCUUUGACGGGUAGCCGGCCUGAGAGGGUGACCGGCCACAUUGGGACUGAGAUACGGCCCAGACUCCUACGGGGAGCAGCGGUGGGGAAUAUUGCACAAGGGGCGGAGGCCUGAUGCAGCAACGCCGCGGGCGGGAUGACGGCCUUCGGGUUGUAAACCGCUUUCGCCUGUGACGAAGCGUGAGUGACGGUAAUGGGUAAAGAAGCACCGGCUAACU
rnacentral:rRNA from 1 species